rnacentral:lncRNA from 1 species
GAAAUUUUAUAUAUUAUAUUAAAUAAAUAUUGUAUUAUUGCUUACUUGCUUUUUAUCAUUGGCUAUUAAUGAAUUAUAUAGCCAUAUGUAGAAGUUUUUGAUAGUUCAAAUAUUUCCUAAAAUUUUUAUAGUUUUAAAACUUAUUUAAAAUUCGUUGUUAUGGUCACAGGGCCAAGACAUGCCCUGGAAAAGCAACAUGUCUCAAACGUGGCAAGGACAAUCACAACAAUGAGAAAUACUCUUCAGGACAAAACUGUAUAAAAUAUGGUGGAGAUCAUCCCACAUUUUCUCAUUCCAAUCUUGAAAAAGAAAAAAAUACAGACCAGUCACCAAUGUAUUUCCUAUGCUGAGGCAUGGAAACAAAUCAUCCCUUUUCAUCUAAUAAAAACAUUUGUAAGUAUGAUGAAGACUUUUAACAUUACAUCUAUUGGUGUACAAACAAAUCUUCAAUCAACUUGCAAAGUCAUUUGCAACAGCUCAAGCCGUCAUCUUCAGGUUCACAUUCACAGGCCAACAGAAUAAAGAAUAAAAUUUUUUAGAACCAACGUUUUUUGUUGAACUGUACUGCUAAGCAGUGCUUGAGUAUUGACUUGUCUUAAACAGCAUUAGAAAGCAG